rnacentral:rRNA from 1 species
UACGUAGGGUGCGAGCGUUAAUCGGAAUUACUGGGCGUAAAGUGUGCGCAGGCGGCCGAGCAAGUCGAGUGUGAAAGCCCCGGGCUUAACCUGGGAACUGCGCUCGAAACUACUUGGCUAGAGUGUGGCAGAGGGAGGUGGAAUUCCACGUGUAGCGGUGAAAUGCGUAGAGAUGUGGAGGAACACCGAUGGCGAAGGCAGCCUCCUGGGCCAACACUGACGCUCGUGCACGAAAGCGUGGGGAGCAAACAGG